rnacentral:rRNA from 1 species
AGAGUUUGAUCCUGGCUCAGAUUGAACGCUGGCUGCAUGCUUAACACAUGCAAGUCGAACGAGAAAGUACCUUCGGGUGCGAGUACAGUGGCGGACGGGUGAGUAAUGCAUAGGAAUCUGCCCAGUAGUGGGGGACAACUCGGGGAAACUCGAGCUAAUACCGCAUAUUUCCUACGGGAGAAAGACUUCGGUCGCUAUUGGAUGAGCCUAUGUCAGAUUAGCUUGUUGGUGGGGUAAAGGCCUACCAAGGCGACGAUCUGUAGCUGGUCUGAGAGGACGAUCAGCCACACUGGGACUGAGACACGGCCCAGACUCCUACGGGAGGCAGCAGUGGGGAAUAUUGGACAAUGGGCGAAAGCCUGAUCCAGCAAUGCAGCGUGUGUGAAGAAGGCCUGAGGGUUGUAAAGCACUUUCAGUAGGGAAGAUAAUGACGGUACCUACAGAAGAAGCACCGGCUAACUCCGUGCCAGCCGCCGCGGUAAUAC